rnacentral:rRNA from 1 species
AUUGAACGCUGGCGGCAGGCCUAACACAUGCAAGUCGAACGAGUGGCGGACGGGUUAGUAAUGUCUGGGAAACUGCCCGAUGGAGGAGGAUAACUACUGGACACGGUAGCUAAUAACGCCUCCCAUCGGAUGUGCCCAGAUGGGAUUAGCGAGUAGGUGGGGUAACGGCUCACCUAGGCGACGAUCCCUAGCUGGUCUGAGAGGAUGACCAGCCACACUGGAACUGAGACACGGUCCAGACUCCUACGGUAGGCAGCAGUGGGGAAGAUUGCACAAUGGGCGAAAGCCUGAUGCAGCCAUGCCGCGUGUAUGAAGAAGGUCUUCGGGUUGUAAAGUACUUUAAGCGAGGAGGCGUUACUCGCAGAAGAAGCACCGGCUAACUCCGUGCCAGCAGCCGCGGUAAUUC